GGGAACUGAAACAUCUAAGUACCCAGAGGAAAGGAAAUCAACCGAGACUCCGUGAGUAGCGGCGAGCGAAAGCGGAUUGCGACUUAAGUCAGUGAACGCGUUGGAAAGCGCGGCCAAAGAAGGUGAUAGCCCUGUAGUUGGAUGAUGUCGCUCAGCCCUAGAGUAGCGUCGGUGUCGUGAAACCCGGCGUGAACAUGGGGGGUCCACCCUCCAAGGCUAAGUACUACUUGACGACCGAUAGUUAACCAGUAAGGCGACUGAAUGAUGAAAACUACCCCUGCUAGGGGUGUGAAAGAGUAGCUGAAACCAUGUGCUUACACAGCGGUCAGAGCCCUUCGGGGUGAUGGCGUGCCUUUUGCAUAAUGACCCGGCGAGUUACUCUCAUUGGCGAGGUUAAGGCCUAGCGGGCCGAAGCCGAAGCGAAAGCGAGUCUGAAAUAGGCGUUGAGUCGAUGGGAGUAGACGCGAAACCUUGUGAUCUACCCAUGGGCAGGCUGAAGGCCGGGUAAAACCGGCUGGAGGGCCGAACGCACCAACGUUGAAAAGUUGGGCGAUGACCUGUGGGGAGGACUAAAAGUGUAAUCAAACUGGGAGAUAGCUCGUUCUCUCCGAAAUAUUUUUAGGAAUAGCCUCUUGCGGCAACUGUUGGGGGUAGAGCCACUGGAUACGGAUGGGGCCCUCGGGUACCCACUGUAACCAAACUCCGAAUACCAACAGCCAAGGCAAGGGAGUCAGCCCACGAGUGACAAUAUCCGUGGACAAAAGGGAAACAUCCCAGACCGCCAGCUAAGGUCCCUGAACAUUGCUUAGUUCUAAAGGAAGUCGAAGCGCAAAGACAGCCAGGAUGUUGGCUUAGAAGCAGC
rnacentral:rRNA from 1 species